rnacentral:rRNA from 1 species
AUUGAACGCUGGCGGCAGGCCUAACACAUGCAAGUCGUACGAGUGGCGGACGGGUGAGUACUGUCUGGGAAACUGCCUGAUGGAGGGGGAUAACUACUGGAAACGGUAGCUAAUACCGCAUACCAUCAGAUGUGCCCAGAUGGGAUUAGCUUGUUGGUGGGGUAACGGCUCACAAAGGCUACGAUCCCUAGCUGGUCUGAGAGGAUGACCAGCCACACGGGAACUGGGACACGGUCCAUAUUCCGACUGCAGGCAGCAGUGGGGAAUAUUGCAAAAUGGGCGCAAGCCUGAUGCAGCCAGGCCGCGUGUAGGAGGAAGGCCUUCGGGUUGUAAAGUACUUUCAGCGGGGAGGCGUUACCCGCAGAAGAAGCACCGGCUAACUCCGUGCAAGCAGCCGCGGUAAGAC